rnacentral:rRNA from 1 species
GACGGAAGGUGCAAGCGUUGCUCGGAAUCACUGGGCGUAAAGGGUGCGUAGGCGGCCGUGCAAGUCUGGCGUGAAAGCCCCGGGCUCAGCCCGGGAAGUGCGCUCGAAACUGCGCGGCUCGAGUGCCGGAGGGGAGAGUGGAAUUCCUGGUGUAGCGGUGAAAUGCGUAGAUAUCAGGAGGAAUACCGGUGGCGAAGGCGGGUCUCUGGGCCGAAACUGACGCUGAGGAGCGAAAGCGUGGGGAGCAAACAGG